AUUGAACGCUGGCGGCAUGCUUUACACAUGCAAGUCGAACAGUAACGCGGGGCAACCUGGCGACGAGUGGCGAACGGGUGAGUAAUGUAUCGGAACGUGCCCAGUUGUGGGGGAUAACUGCUCGAAAGAGCAGCUAACACCGCAUACGACCUGAGGGUGAAAGCGGGGGAUCGCAAGACCUCGCGCAAUUGGAGCGGCCGAUAUCAGAUUAGGUAGUUGGUGGGGUAAAGGCCCACCAAGCCAACGAUCUGUAGCUGGUCUGAGAGGACGACCGGCCACACUGGGACAGAGACACGGCCCAGACUCCUACGGGAGGCAGCAGUGGGGAAUUUUGGACAAUGGACGCAAGUCUGAUCCAGCCAUGCCGCGUGCGGGAAGAAGGCCUUCGGGUUGUAAACCGCUUUUGUCAGGGAAGAAAAGGGCGACUCUAAUACAGUUGCCUCAUGACGGUACCUGAAGAAUAAGCACCGGCUAACUACGUGCCAGCCGCCGCGGUAAUAC
rnacentral:rRNA from 1 species